rnacentral:lncRNA from 1 species
UCUAAUUUUUCAUCCGUAUUUCUCAAAGCUGCAAACCUAGAAGGUGUUGCAAUAGUCACUUGGCCAUAUUUCAGGCUUUGUGAUAUUGGACUUCUUCCAACUUUUUCCCUCGCUACCUUUUCCCCUCCAGUUAUUUCUCCCUCUUCUAUCUCUUUAUUUCCUUCUACUUCACUACACUUCUAUUCCAUGUUUCCCAAUUCACUGCCUUCCGGCACUUCUCCUCUCUUCCCUUUCUCCUUCGAUCCCUCCACAUUUUCUUUUUGUUCUCUCUCCAAUGAUAUACUCCUUAUCUCUCCAU